rnacentral:lncRNA from 1 species
UUAUUGUGAUCCCUCUAUUUACCCAAGACCCACAAUUUACACCAAGACCCACAAAUUCCAUUAUAGGACUCGUAAUCGUUUUGGUUUGAUUUUUGAUUUUUUUGAUUUUUAAUGAACUUUUUUAUCUUUAAUUCAAUUUUUUUAUAUUUUUAAGUUUUUAAGUUUUUUUAAAAUUUUUUUGAGGGAUACAAAUAAUUUUUUUCUUCUUUAGUAUUUUUUUUUCUAAAUUAGGUAAAAUAUUUUUAUUUUUCAACUAUUCUCGUUAAGAUAAACUGAAAAAAUAUAAAAUUGUGAUCAAAUAAUAAAAACAAUCUCUAAAGACGAAAAUAUUCAAAAAUCAAAGCAACUUAAAAAAUCUAAAGAAACAUACCAAAAAAAUAAUCUUUUUUUUUAUUAAGUGAACUUCUUUCAUAUGUUGCCUUUUGAGAAAAAUGCACUUUGCCCCAUCGACAAAUUAAGCAGUUUCUAACUUUCUACUUUACCCCCUGAACUAAUAAUUUUUUUAAUUUAUACCCUAACUCUUGAAUUAGUUGCAAUCAAGUCCAAACUUUACCUUUGAUCCAAAUUCUAACGGAAUAUUACAAUGUGGCACCUGUGUGACACAAUACAAUACCUACGUAGCAAACUAGAUCCAUACCCAUUUACCCUUACCCUAACCCAAUCCCCAAACCCUAACAUUGCUUUACCUAUUGCCCCCACCCCAACCCUGCAUGAACCACCACCAUUGUUGCUACCACCACCACUAUACAAACCAUAAUCAUUAUGUAAAUUACCUUUUUAAUAUUAAAUUGUUUAAAUAUUUCUAUACUAAUAAUUAUCCAUGCUCACGGGCACUGCACACAUAAAAAACUACCUUUUAGAUAUACUAGUUAGAAUUUUACAAGCUAAAAAAUAAAUAAAAUAUAAACGUCAAAUAAGAGAUACAUUGUUACAAAAUAAAGAACAAAUUAGAAAGUAUAAUUAUUUAAAAAAAAGUGUUUCUAGUUUGAAAAAUGAUAAAAAAAAAAGUGGUGUUUUAAUUUUUUUGGUUGGCCACACUAAGAAAAUGAUUCAAUGGGCAAAAAAUGUGCCCAGUUUUAAAAAAAUUUUAGCAAUUAGAUCACAACCUAUAUGGGUCUUGCACUUUUGAGAAGAAGAAAGUGAAUUUUUUUUUGAGAAAAAAAUAGUCUAAGGUGAAAUCUCAGCUAUUGAAUUAAGUCAAAUAGAUUUCAACCAUAAAUAGUGAUAGAUAGUUUGAAAUAUUCAAAAAUAUUGUGUCUUAUAUUAUAGAUAUAGCUGCCAUAUUUCUUACUUUCUUGCUUUAUGUAUAUACCAAUAUUUCUCCUAAAAAGGGCUAAUUACAAAAAAUAGGGUGAUUUUUUUUUGCUCGUGAACUGCUCACAUAAAAAUUUAACAUUUUUUAAUUUUUUUCUUGUUUGAUUUUAGAAGAAAGAGGGAAGACAAUAAUGCAAAAACAUGGAAGAAAAUAAUGCAAAAACAUGACCGAAAAUUAAAAAAAAAUGUUGUAAUAGAAAAAAUUGCAAAAUCCAAGUUCCAUUUUCCAAGAGCCCAGAGACCUUGUCAUUACGUGCAAGUAAUAAACCUUCACGUUUUUUCUCCCUCUCAUCUUUAUCGCCCGUCCUUGUAACGAGGAAUCUAUUUGAAAGACACUACCAAAUCACUUGUUAAGCUCAAGGACCAUUUCCUUCGAAGUAUUUUCAAAGGUUUAAUUACUCUUUUGACCUCAGUGUUAAGAAGCAUGAAAGAGGUACGCAGCAAAAUAACUUGCCAUGAAUCAUUAUCCCAGUUUGAUUUAGUUUUGUUUUUUUUAAAGAUUUUUCAGUUGUUUAGUUAUUGAGUUUUUUUUAUUUUUAGUAUACUUUUUAAUUGUUUGAUCAAAUUUUAUAUAAUUUUGGUUCUUUCUAAAGAAAUGAGUCUGAAAAUAUAAAAAAGAAAUUAUCUAAUUUGAGAAAAGAUUCAUUGAAAACAAAAAUAAAUAUUUUUAUUGACAAAUUAACUAUUUUUUAUGUUUUAACAAACUUGUUUUUUUGAAUUUUAUUUUAUUUUUUACAUUUUCAAAUUUCUCUCGUCAAAAAGAAUCGAAAAUAUAUAAAAAUUUGAUCAAAUAGUAAAAAAAUUCACUCAAGACAAAAAAACUAAAACAACUAAAAAAAUUGUAAAACAAAAAGGCUAGUUGAGGUUUUGAUCUCGUAAUAGUUUUAGAAAUAAGUAGUUCAAUUAACUUAUUUGAUUCUGUUGAAUUUAAAUUUUGACAAUUUUGAUCCCACAAAAAAUUUAAUAAUUUGCUCUAACUUCUAUAAGUUUUGACAAUAUUAAUCCCGUAAAACAUAAUUCUAAUAUUUUUUGGGUGUGAUGAGAUUGUCUUUUUAUAAUCUAUAAUAUAAUUUAUUAUAAAUACAAUUUUAACACCACAAAAAAUUAAUAACUUGUCCUAAAUUCUAUAAAUUCUACAAUUUUGACCUCGUUGAAUCUAAAUUAUGAAAAUUUUGAUCAUAAAAAA